rnacentral:rRNA from 1 species
UACGUAGGGCGCAAGCGUUGUCCGGAUUUAUUGGGCGUAAAGAGCUCGUAGGCGGUUUGUCGCGUCUUCCGUGAAAACUGGGGGCUUAACUUCCAGCUUGCGGUGGAUACGGGCUGACUGGAGUGCGGCAGGGGAGACUGGAAUUCCUGGUGUAGCGGUGAAAUGCGCAGAUAUCAGGAGGAACACCGGUGGCGAAGGCGGGUCUCUGGGACGGUACUGACGCUGAGACGCGAAAGCGUGGGGAGCGAACAGG